GACUCAGGCCGGAUCAGCCUGAAGGCGCCCGAUCUCGUCUGAUCUCGGAAGCUAAGCAGGGUCGGGCCUGGUUAGUAUCUUGGAUGGGAGACCACCUGGGAAUCCCGGGUGCUCGAGGCU
rnacentral:rRNA from 1 species